UACGAAGGGGGCUAGCGUUGUUCGGAAUUACUGGGCGUAAAGCGCACGUAGGCGGAUUGUUAAGUCAGGGGUGAAAUCCCGCGGCUCAACCGUGGAACUGCCUCAGAUACUGACGGCCUCGAGGGAGAUAGGGGCGAGCGGAACUAAUGGUGGAGCGGUGAAAUGCGUUGAUAUCAUUAGGAACUCCGGUGGCGAAGGCGGCUCGCUGGAUCUCUUCUGACGCUGAGGCGCGAAAGCUAGGGGAGCAAACGGG
rnacentral:rRNA from 1 species